rnacentral:lncRNA from 1 species
GUGUGUGUGUGUGUGUGUGUGUCUCACUCUUCUGUUCUUUUUCUCUUUCUUUUAGGACCUGUUCAAUGAAUACCUACUAUGUGCCAAGCCCUCUCCUAGGCCCUGAGUAAUAAACCAGACAGAAGUCCUUAGCCCUUUGAGCUUCCACUGGUGAACUUCUCCACCCAAGGCCUCUUCCUGUGAAAUACUCCUAAUACCUCCAAAAUCCAGCUGGGUCAGCAUCCCCACAGCCCCUGCCAAAGGAACCUCUAGAGAAAGACACCUGCCCCCAUUCUGUUCUGCUUUUCUCCAUAGCAACCAUCACCACCU